rnacentral:rRNA from 1 species
CCUACGGGAGGCAGCAGUGAGGAAUAUUGGACAAUGGGGGGAACCCUGAUCCAGCGACGCCGCGUGAGUGAAGAAGUAUUUCGGUAUGUAAAGCUCUGUCAGCAGGGAAGAAAGCAAUGACGGUACCUGACCAAGAAGCCCCGGAUAACUACGUGCCAGCAGCCGCGGUACUACGUAGGGGGCAAGCGUUAUCCGGAAUUACUGGGAGUAAAGGGAGCGUAGACGGCUGUGCAAGUAUGGAGUGAAAGGCGGGGGCCCAACCCCCGGACUGCUCUGGAAACUGUAUGGCUGGAGUGCAGGAGAGGGAAGCUGAAUUCCUAGUGUAGAGGUGAAAUGCGUAGAUAUUAGGAGGAACACCAGUGGCGAAGGCGGCUUACUGGACUGUAACUGACGUUGAGGCUCGAAAGCGUGGGGAGCAAACAGGAGUAGAUACCCCUGUAGUC